rnacentral:rRNA from 1 species
GAUGAACGCUGGCGGCGUGCCUAAUACAUGCAAGUCGAGCGAACAGACGAGGAGCUUGCUCCUCUGACGUUAGCGGCGGACGGGUGAGUAACACGUGGAUAACCUACCUAUAAGACUGGGAUAACUUCGGGAAACCGGAGCUAAUACCGGCUAAUAUAUUGAACCGCAUGGGUCAAUAGUGAAAGACGGUUUUGCUGUCACUUAUAGAUGGAUCCGCGCCGCAUUAGCGAGUUGGUAAGGUAACGGCUUACCAAGGCAACGAUGAGUAGCCGCUCUGAGAGGGUGCCCCCCCCCCCGGGGGCUGAGCCCCGGCCCAGCCCCCGCGGGGGGGCAGCAGGGGGGACUUUUCGCCAAGGGGCGAACGCCUGCGGCAGCACCGCCGCGGGUGUGAAGAAGGCCUUCGGUUUGUAAAGCUUUUUUGUCGGGAAAGAAAAAUUUGGCAAUAAUUCAGGCGGGUGUUGACGGUACCGAAAGAAUAAGCACCGGCUACCUACGU